GCCCCAUUCGUCUAGUGGCCCAGGACGCGGGAUUCUCAGUCCUGAAACAGGGGUUCGAUUCCCCUAUGGGGUGCCA
rnacentral:tRNA from 1 species